GACGAACGCUGGCGGCAAGCUUAACACAUGCAAGUCGAACGCCGUAGCAAUACGGAGUGGCAGACGGGUGAGUAACACGUGGGAACGUGCCUUCCGGUUCGGAACAACUGAGGGAAACUUCAGCUAAAACCGGAUACGCCCUUCGGGGGAAAGGUUACGCCGAAAGAUCGGACCGCGUCAGAUUAGGUAGUUGGCGGGGUAAUGGCCCACCAAGCCGAUGAUCUGUAGCUGUUCUGAGAGGAAGAUCAGCCACACUGGGACUGAGACACGGCCCAGACUCCUACGGGAGGCAGCAGUGGGGAAUAUUGGAAAAUGGGCGCAAGCCUGAUCCAGCUAUGCCGCGUGGAUGAAGAAGGCCUUCGGGUUGUAAAGUCCUUUCGGCGGGGAAGAGAAUGACGGUACCCGCAGAAGAAGCCCCGGCUAAUUUCGUGCCAGCCGCCGCCGUAAGAC
rnacentral:rRNA from 1 species